UACGUAGGGGGCUAGCGUUGUCCGGAAUCAUUGGGCGUAAAGAGCGCGUGAGCGGCCAGAUAAGUCCGGUGUGAAAGUCAAAGGCUCCAACCUUUGAAUGCCGCUGGAAAACUGUCGUGGCUAGAGGUCCGGGAGGGGCGAGUGGAAUUCCUGGUGUAGCGGUGAAAUGCGCAGAUAUCAGGAGGAACACCAAUGGCGAAGGCAGCUCGCUGGAACGGUACUGACGCUGAGGCGCGAAAAGCCAGGGGAGGCGAAACGGG
rnacentral:rRNA from 1 species